rnacentral:SRP_RNA from 1 species
UGCACUGGAGCAGAAACAAGAGACGGUGACGAAUCAGACGGGUGCGGAAGGAAGCAGCAAGACGACGAUGACUGCGAUUUUGGCGCCGAGUAGCCAUGUGU